AGCCGCCGCGGCUGCUGCGGAAGAAGGGAAAAAGGAAAACAACAGUCCGGCGGCCGGCGGAGCAGCGCCCGGCCCCAGCGCAGCCCUCGGAGUGCGGAGCCGCCCAGCUGGACUGUGAACCCUACAGGUCAGAGACCUUGCCUCAGGCAUGUCUGGCUCCUGGCACGCAGAGGCCUCAACAGGUGGCUGGACGGCUGGAGGGACGCAGAGGGAGGAAUACUGUGGAGCUGCUGAGCGGGGCUCAGGCAGAAGCAUCAGGGAUGGCCAGACGCCCGCACAGACGUGCAGCCUCACACACGCUUUCAGGGCAGCGAUCAGAAAUCAUAGACAUUUCUAGGAUGAGAUGCAUGACCAGGACGUAGUGAUGAGAGGGCACACCUGGCGAACUCCGUGCUAUCAUCUCUGAAGCCUGGAGAGGAGAAGAGCAGCAUACUUACUCGUUUACUCCACUCGGGAGUACUUAAUACGUCCCAGGCACUAUUUCAAAUGCUUGUGAACGCAAGAGAAAAAUCACAGCCCUAUGAAGCUUACAUUCUUGUGAUAGGAAUCAAACAAAAUAAGUAAGUAAAUAUAGAAUGUAUCAAAUGAUGAUGAGUGAUAGGAAAAAAACCAAACAAACCAGGAGGCAGGAUUAGGAGGAGUAAGAUUGGCCACAGAGAGAAUAAUUCUAAGUUAGUUGAUCUGGAAAGGAUUCACUGUGAAGGAGGAGAGGAAAGGCAAGUGCUUAUCUGAAGGGAGAAUAUUCCAGGUAGAGGAAGCAGCAAGUGCAAAGGCCCUGGGGCAGGAAGUGCUUAUGUGUUUAUGGAACAAGUAGGCUGGAGUGAAGGAAGAAAGGAGAGUAUACCAGAGUGUACAAUUAUAUAGAGAGAAGUACAUGGGUUUUGGAAUUAUGUAAGCAGGCUGAAACUUAAGCAGAGAAAUCUCACGAAAGCUGCUGAAACUUUCCAAGACUCAACUUCAUCAUCUGUAAAAUGGUUAUAUCAAUACGUGUGGUGGAGGACUUGGAAGUCAGAACUGAGAGAAGCUGUUCCUGGCUACCUCCUCCAUUCCAUGAUCUGGAAUCAAGUUUGCUUUAGCGUUUCUUUUCUUUGCUCUUGAGGAUGAGACACUUCUACUCUAUCCUCUCAAACUGCAAUUUAAAAUGGAUUAACAGAAACACUUGAGAUAAUUUGUACUUGUUUUUGUCAUAGAGGGUUUUGCCAUCACUUUUCUUCCAGUUUACGUACAGAGGUUUUUUUGUUUUGUUUUGUUUUGUUUUUUUUGUAUUUUGGUAUUCAUGUUACAACACAGAUGACCCCAAUCACAAGACUAUGGCUACAAAAUAAGGUUUCAUUCCUUUUAUAUUGGAAAAAUAGUAACUUUGAACCCCACACCACUAGUUUAGUGAAGUCUAGUCUUUGGCUCAUGUAACAUGGGUACUGUUGCUUUUUGUGUUUUGUUUUGUUUUUUCCUUUUUUAAAAAGUCUUUCCCCGUUUUUACUUGCCUUCCGUGGUCUUGCUUUUCUCCCGCACCACGAGGCUGCCUCUUGCUCACAGGUCGCUGUACAGCCUGAUGUGCUGCUUCUAUGUUCACAUGGUUGUUGACGAACACAUUUAUACACUUGCAUGCUUUUUCACGUAAGUGGGAUCACUAUACACACCCCUGUGCGCCUUACAUUUCUCACUCAAUAAUACCGCUUGGGAGCCUCUUAGCACUGACUAGUUUCACCCAUUCGUCCGUGUAAGCGAACAAAAACCAACCGAAAUGCUUGUUCUGUGCCGCCACAGAACAGUUGGGGGAAAUAUAACUGAAGGGCUCUUUCGUGUAAUUUUUCCAAAACAAAGGAAAUCUGUCCCCAGGGACAAUCAGUGUCACCACUGGGCGUGGCAGAAAAGGUCCAGCAGCGAGUUCUGCCCCACUGCGCGGGGGUGGGGGGGCUUGGUGUGGUUUCUAGCUUCUUACAUUUCCUCAGGCUUGCUUUGUGACCUACCAUAGGAUCUGUCCUUGAGAAACAAAUAUGCACAUCUACAGUCAACUAGUAUUUGACAAGGGAGCCACGAAUACUUAGCGGAAAAGGACAGUCUCUUCAAUUAACGGUGCUGGUAAAACUGGACAAUCUGAUGCAAAAAUCAAUCAAGCUGAGGGGGAGGGUAUAGCUAAAGUGGCAGAGUGAAUGCUUGGCAUGCACGCGGUCCUGGGUUCCACCCCUAGAACCUCUGAAAAUAAAUAAUAAACCGAAUUACCUUCCCCCUCACCCCCCAAAAAAAGUUGGAUUCCUAUUUUAUACCACUCAUAAAAAUGAAACUGAUUAAAGACCUAAA